rnacentral:rRNA from 1 species
AACGAACGCUGGCGGCAUGCCUAACACAUGCAAGUCGAACGAGACCUUCGGGUCUAGUUGCGCACGGGUGCGUAACGCGUGGGAACCUGCCCUUAGGUUCGGAAUAACUCCCCGAAAGGGGUGCUAAUACCGGAUAAUGUCUUCGGACCAAAGAUUUAUCGCCUUUGGAUGGGCCCGCGUUGGAUUAGCUAGUUGGUAGGGUAAAAGCCUACCAAGGCGACGAUCCAUAGCUGGUCUGAGAGGAUGAUCAGCCACACUGGGACUGAGACACGGCCCAGACUCCUACGGGAGGCAGCAGUGGGGAAUACUGGACAAUGGGCGAAAGCCUGAUCCAGCAAUGCCGCGUGAGUGAUGAAGGCCUUAGGGUUGUAAAGCUCUUUUACACGGGAUGAUAAUGACAGUAACGGGAGAAUAAGCUCCGGCUAACUCCGUG